rnacentral:lncRNA from 1 species
UUGAGUAGGAGUCCUAUUAGGAGUUGGUUAGAAGUAAGAGUCUUAAGUAGGAGUCCUAUUAGGAGUUAGAGUUUAGAAGCCCUAUAAAUAGCCAUGUAUUCCUUCUCUUUUGAUAAGCAAUAGAUGAAUCUUUUCUGCAGCCUUUGAGCAGCAACUUGGAGGGAGGAACCCCUAUAGAGUUCCAAGGAGGCCGAUCCCCUAAAGAGAUCAAUCCCAAGU